rnacentral:tRNA from 1 species
AAUAAGAAAACAGUGCAAUUGUAUUUAGUUUCGACCUAAAAAAAAGUAUAUAAAAUACUCUUAUUA